GUGCUUGCUUCGGCAGCAUAUAUGCUAAAAUUGGAAGGAUACAGAGAAGAUUAGCAUGGCCCCUGCACAUUUUUUUCUUACUGAGUUUAGAUGAUCUUGCUUAAUAU
ensembl:snRNA U6 U6 spliceosomal RNA